rnacentral:tRNA from 1 species
GGCUCCAUGGUGUAAUGGUUAGCACCCUGGACUUUGAAUCCAGAGAUCCGAGUUCGAGUCUCGGUGGACCUC